rnacentral:rRNA from 1 species
AUCACGGAGAGUUUGAUCCUGGCUCAGAACGAACGCUGGCGGCGUGUCUUAAGCAUGCAAGUCGAACGAGAACCAUGGUGCUUCAGCUUGCUGAAGCGCCGGGGGACAGUGGCGAACGGGUGAGUAACACGUAGGUGAUCUGCCCCGAAGUGUGGGAUAGCCUAUGGAAACAUAGGGUAAUACCUCAUGUGAUCCGAGGAUUGGAUGCCUCGGAUGAAAGGCGCAAUUGUGUCGCUUUGGGAUGAGCCUGCGGUCCAUUAGUUAGUUGGUGAGGUAAUAGCUCACCAAGGCGAUGAUGGAUAGCCGGCCUGAGAGGGUGAACGGUCACACUGGGACUGAGACACGGCCCAGACUCCUACGGGAGGCAGCAGCUAAGAAUAGUCCGCAAUGGGGGAAACCCUGACGGUGCGACGCCGCGUGGGUGAUGAAGGCCUGACGGUUGUAAAGCCCUUUUCUCAGCGAAGAAUAAGGUGAGGAGUGGAACGCCUCAUCGAUGACGUUAGUUGAGGAAGAAGCCCCGGCCAAUUACGUGCCAGCAGCCGCGGUAACACGUAAGGGGCGAGCGUUGUUCGGAAUUAUUGGGCGUAAAGGGCGCGUAGGCGGUGCAGCAAGCUUGGUGUAAAAGGCUCGGGCUCAACCCGAGGAAUGCGCUGGGAACUGCUGCGCUAGAGUCUUGGAGGGGAAGCUGGAACUCCUGGUGGAGGGGUGAAAUCUGUAGAUAUCAGGAAGAACACCGGUAGCGAAGGCGAGCUUCUGGCCAAAGACUGACGCUGAGGCGCGAAAGCGUGGGGAGCGAACAGGAUUAGAUACCCUGGUAG